CUCCAGACUCCUACGGGAGGCAGCAGUGAGGAAUAUUGGUCAAUGGCCGGAAGGCUGAACCAGCCAAGCCGCGUGAGGGAGGAAGGCGCAGAGCGUCGCAGACCUCUUUUGCCGGGGGACAAAAGGCCGGACGGGUCCGGUUCUGAGGGUACCCGGAGAAAAAGCAUCGGCUAACUCCGUGCCAGCAGCCGCGGUAAUACGGAGGAUGCGAGCGUUAUCCGGAUUUAUUGGGUUUAAAGGGUGCGUAGGCGGACGCUUAAGUCAGCGGUAAAAUUGCGGGGCUCAACCUCGUCGAGCCGUUGAAACUGGGUGCCUUGAGUGGGCGAGAAGUACGCGGAAUGCGUGGUGUAGCGGUGAAAUGCAUAGAUAUCACGCAGAACUCCGAUUGCGAAGGCAGCAUACCGGCGCCCUACUGACGCUGAGGCACGAAAGCGUGGGUAUCGAACAGGAUUAGAUACCCCCGUAA
rnacentral:rRNA from 1 species